UACGUAGGGCGCAAGCGUUAUCCGGAAUUAUUGGGCGUAAAGAGCUCGUAGGCGGUUUGUCGCGUCUGCCGUGAAAGUCCGGGGCUCAACUCCGGAUCUGCGGUGGGUACGGGCAGACUAGAGUGAUGUAGGGGAGACUGGAAUUCCUGGUGUAGCGGUGAAAUGCGCAGAUAUCGUUUGGAACGCCAACGGUGAAAACAGACAGCUGGGAGUGUGCUGACGCUGAGACACGAAAGCCAGGGGAGCGAACGGG
rnacentral:rRNA from 1 species